rnacentral:rRNA from 1 species
UACAGAGGGUGCAAGCGUUGUUCGGAAUUAUUGGGCGUAAAGGGCGCGUAGGCGGUGCGGUAAGUCUGUAGUGAAAUCUCUGGGCUCAACUCAGAGUCUGCUGCAGAAACUGCCGUGCUUGAGUGUGGGAGAGGUGAGUGGAAUUCCUAGUGUAGAGGUGAAAUUCGUAGAUAUUAGGAAGAACACCAGUGGCGAAGGCGGCUCACUGGCCCGGUACUGACGCUGAGGCGCGAAAGCGUGGGGAGCAAACAGG